rnacentral:rRNA from 1 species
GACGAACGCUGGCGGCGUGCCUAAUACAUGAAAGUCGAACGCAGUGGGGACGGGUGAGUAACACGUGGGUAACCUCCCAUCAGAGGGGAUAACACUUGGAACAGGUGCUAAACCGAUACUGCUAGAUGAACCCGCGGUGCCUUAGCUCUUGGGUGAGGUAACGGCUCACCCAGGCCAAGAUUCCUAUCCGACCUGAGUGUGUGUCCGGCUACACUGGGACUGAGACACGGCCCAGACUCCUACGGGAGGAAGCAGGAGGGAAUGUUCGGGAAUGGACGAAAGUCUGACCGAGCAUCGCCGCGUGAGUGAAGAAGGUUUUCGGAUCGUAAAACUCUGUUGUUAGAGAAGCGGUAUCUAACCAGAAAGCCACGGCUAACUACGUGCCAGCAGCCGCGGUAAUAC